UCAAAUUAUUGUUUAUCUCUUUACUUGCUGGGUGCCUGCUGGGCUUGAAAAUGGCCGAAAUCAUGAAAAAAAGAAAUUCAUCCAGAACUUACAGAAUCCCGUAAUAAAGACAGGAAUUUUUGCCCCAUUAUCUCUGUGAGAUGUCUGUUGCCUCUGUGUUGAUGGCACACGUAUUCUGAGAUUACCAACUAUUUUUUAAUUUAUUGAUCGUUCAUUUCUUUUUUUUAAAAAAAAUAUAAUCGCAAAUUUCUCAAAUCUAAGUCUGCAUGAGCCACACCAUAACUCGCUUUCAAAGACUCACUUCCUCACAAUCAAUGAAGAAACAACUAAUCUAAAUUGCCAUUGAGUGGAAAGUGAGGUGAGAUGAAACAACUCUUUCUGUUACUAACCCCAUGCUCAAAAAGGUGGAGGUGUUAGCUCAUUCAAAUUACCCAGGAUUGACAUGUAGCAUCACUGUCGAAAUAGGUCCUCAAAAAUGUUUGCUCUGCCGUCCUUAAGACAUCAAUUCAAGAGCAGGAAGAACGUUUUACCAAAGUCUGCUCACCACCCAUCAGCUUUCUUGGUGACCGUUUUAGAAUCCCCUCUACAUGUAGCUCUAGCUUUCGCGCAAAACUUCAAAAGUUCUCCAGUAAAAUAUGUACAAAAAUGAGACUCAAAGAUGUUUUUUUUUUUUUUUUUUUUAAGUCAUACCUUCUUUUGAUAUGCAUCUCUUGGUAGUUUCGUUGCUUGAAUUCACAUAAUAUAAUACUUCCAACCACUGUUUGGACUUUGGUCAAUAUUUUUGCGCCUGUCUUGAUGAUCUAGGUCUCUAUCCUAAUGAGAUGUUAUCUUUAACAGAGAGUUCCUCAAUGUGCGUAGUUGGAACACAAAAAUUAAGUAUAGUCAGAGGCAUUAAAUGUAACUUAAAUAAAUCAUGCUUAAAUUUUUAUUAUAAUUGUGAUGGAUGUAUGUAUCUUGCUUCCAGCGUUACGAUAGGUUGGUGACAACACGGAGCCAAAUGUGCUCCAAGAAUAUAUCAUUCGUGUCAGCAGAUGUCAAAAUUCACUUCCAGAUGGCACUUAAAAUGAGGAAGUACCAAGUAAGUUGAGCAAUAUUUUUUGUCGUGCAACUUUUUCCCCCAAUAAAAAUAGUUAAUCCAAUUUUUUAAAUAGUGUCGUAGUCAACCUCUACUA
rnacentral:lncRNA from 1 species